AUAAAGCAGAAGAUGAGGGGGAAAACCGGCUCAGCCGUGACUUGGGGCAUCCACAGAUCGAACUAUUGAGGAAUCUAGACAGAGGGCAGCACUCAGGAGCCCGGCUGUGGGAGUUGAUCCCAGGAGAGCUCGUGAACUGGAACGAGUCCAAGCCUGCAGCUGGACCCACGACUACAUCAGAUGCUGAGAGCAGAGGAGAAAGCAAAGGAGGGACAAAGGUUCUGAAUUACUCAAAGACUUGUCCAGGAACCUAGGAAAUAUGUGCUUUAAAGUCUGAAAUUAUCGAGUGAAGGCGGGCCAGAAAACAAGAUGUAGUCUAGAAAUUUGCUUGGAAGCAACUCGUUGAAGGUACAGAGGAAAAGGCUGGAGAAAAACGCAUUGGAUUAAGCAAAAGCAUUUUGUUUAG
rnacentral:lncRNA from 1 species